rnacentral:miRNA from 1 species
ACAGUAAGAGCACCUCAGGGGCC